ensembl:lncRNA
CUCACACUGGCUCUAGAGCCAACAUUUCACCCAGUAUGAGCAAAAUAUUAAAGAGGAACUGAUUAGAAAGGAGAAGCCCUGGUAACCAGUGACCAUGGAAAGGAAAACAGGAAGAGUACAUGAGAUCUUAAUGAGGCUUUAGUUUAGCAACAUGUUUUAUUCUCUUAGGGACUGAUGCAGUGUAAGAGUGAUUCCUCAACUCUGAAUUUAUCUGCUUUAUUGGUUUUGUGUCACUGCUGUAAUUUUUUUGAUUUUUUUUUUUUUUUUUUUAAGUAGUGAUACCAUAAGAGGCCUCUAAAGGUAGAAACAUACAGCAAGUAAACUCUUCUGCAUUUAUUUUACUUUGCAAGUCAGGCUCCGAGGCUUAAAUCUGGUGUUUCAAGGUGCACUUGGAGGCUUGUUGUGGCUUCAUAAAUGGCCAUUAAGUGGGAAUGGGAAUGGGAGAAUUUUGUCCUCAAGGCUCAUUUUUGAUGUCCCUCUGAUCUGAGAUUAUUACCACAGUAUGUUGCAUCAGUCAUGCUGGAUAUGCAGUAAAUGACCUCGACUGUUAGGAAACCAUUAAUCAACAAAUCAUCAACAAGAUAAAACUCAGUGUCUUUUCUUGUACUUUUGGACAUGAAGGACAGUGCCUGGUUAUUCCAGAGACACUAUAAUCGGAAGAAAAAUGCUGCCGACUUCCUGGUGAGUUAGUGCUGUUUUGUUUUCGUGGUGCCACAUUUUCCUGGUGAAGAUGUGAAAUCCUGUGAGCUGAUAUGAGAGAAUGUUUUCCUGGCUGCUCACCAGUUACCAAGGAAAUUCAGAGGCUGGAAUUUCUUGAUUUUAUGGAUGUGAACAAGUUUUUUGGGAGAGCUUGCCUGGGGCCUCAAAUUGAAGGGAAAUGCAAGAGCAGCUUUGCUUGGAAAAGUGAUUUUUAAGCAUGAAAAAGUGUCAAGAAACAGUGUAUUAUGUGCUUCUGCUGAAGCAGUCAGGGGUUAUUGUCUCUCCCAUUCUCAAGAAGUGCAAGUGGACAAGGGAAGCAUAUUUUAUCAUCCUGGAAUGGGAGAAGAACCAGGCUGAGAAGAUGGCUGUGUUGCAUGCAUAUUUGCUUUUUGCACCAUGUCGCUCCUCCCCAACUCAGGUGUCACCCCAUGGACCUUGCCCAGCUCAGCCUCCACCUGCACCGCUGGACACGAGAAGGGAUGAGUCCCAUUUGGUCCAUCUUCACCGUCCUCAAGGCUGGUGAGGGGGGCUGCAGGCUCCCCAUGCCCCUGCCAGAAACGUGCCCUCUGACCAGCUGAGGGAUGUCUCACCCGCUGCUGAGGCACCAGCUGCUGAGCGCCUGGAGAUGCACGCUGGUCAAGAGGCCAAACCUCCAAAACUACCCCUGAGUAUUUUGAGUGAAGUUACUCCGAGGAGAUGAAGCUCUGCUCUCAGGUGGCAUUUAACCGUAAUAGCAAGGGGCUUUGGAGACCUGAUUUUGUUCCUGGCCCUGCCAUUUAUCUUCUGCACAGCCUUGGGCAAGUCCUUUCCCUUCUCCCUGCCUGCCCUUCCCCACACAUCCCUAUUCUGAGUUAAUGGCAGUAGAGAUGACUUAUGGCAAUGAUGGGGUUGGUUGGGUCUACAUUUUGUGAGUACAUAAACAGCAACUGCAGAAAGGCUUAACUUUUGUUUUAAAGAUUCUGCUUGGCCAGAUCUAGUGUUAACUAGAGAUGGCAAUGUGUGGUAUGUUGAGGUUUCUCCACUUGUACUCUCUCCUUACCUUUGCUGGAAAAUUGAGUCUCAUCAGCUGGGGAACAGAAACAAGAGGACAUGGGAAGUCCCAACCUGUCAAUGCAACUAAAGCAUUAGUUAAAAAUGUUCGGAAACCCAUGCAGAGAGUCAAAAUAAACCCCAGCUUAUCUCUCUGCUUGCUUUAGAC